CCUAUUAUUUUAAUUGUUAGGAGUUGCCCAGAGUAGUAAAAGUUAUGAACUUAAAACUCAAAAAUUUUGGCGGUGAUUUAACUAAUCAGAGGAAUUUGUCCUGUAAUCGAUAACCCCCGAUAAAAUUUACUUAAAUUAGUAGCCAGCUUGUAUACCGCCGUCAGAAGAAAAUUUUACAAAAACAUUUUCAAGAGUUAGUUAUAAAGUAUGUCAGGUCAAGGUGCAGUUUAUGUUUAAGAAGAGAUGAAUUACAAUAAAAUUAUUUAAUACGGAAUUUUAAAUGAAAUAAUAAAAAUAAGGUGGAUUUGGCAGUAAUAUUUUUCAGGAAGAAAAUAUAAUAGUAGCUCUAAAUCGUGCACACAUC
rnacentral:rRNA from 1 species